AGUGAACGCUGGCGGUAGGCCUAACACAUGCAAGUCGAACGGCAGCACAGUAAGAGCUUGCUCUUACGGGUGGCGAGUGGCGGAUGGGUGAGGAAUACAUCGGAAUCUACUUUUUCGUGGGGGAUAACGUAGGGAAACUUAAGCUAAUACCGCAUACGACCUACGGGUGAAAGCAGGGGAACUUCGGACCUUGCGCGAUUGAAUGAGCCGAUGUCGGAUUAGCUAGUUGGCGGGGUAAAGGCCCACCAAGGCGACGAUCCGUAGCUGGUCUGAGAGGAUGAUCGGCCACACUGGAGCUGGGACACGGUCCAGGCUCCUACGGGAGGCACCAGUGGGGAAUAUUGGGCAGUGGGCGCAAGCCUGAUCCAGCCAUACCGCGUGGGUGAAGAAGGCCUUCGGGUUGUAAAGCCCUUUUGUUGGGAAAAAAAAGCAGCAGGUUAAUACCCCGCUGUUCUGACGGUACCCAAAGAAUAAGCACCGGCUAACUUCGUG
rnacentral:rRNA from 1 species